CAGGAGAAGCAAAUCUACCUGCUGCAGAUAUCCAUUUAGUCUCCCAAGGUAACUUCAACAGAAGAAUGGCACCUGUGGAGUUGAGCUGCAUGUUCAGUGUCCGUGUGAUGCUGGUUCUGGUUACUGGGAGCCUGCUUUUGCAAAGAGCAGCAUCUGCACCAGCUUUGUCAGAAGAUUGUCUUGAAGAAGAGGCGUGUUCUGAAGAUGUACAAGCAACCCUAUGGCAGAGCCGUUCUCAGCAAAAUACAGAAGAGUCCACCUUCAACCCAGUCACCAUUCGAGAAGAUGAGACAGAGCUGCUCCCAUUAAACUGCAGGAAAUGACCUCGAGUGGGAGUGCAGAGAGGCCUUGGCUUUGCAUUUAAUGUAAUGCAUUGUUCGAAUGAGACUGCCUUGGUAUUCUGAUGAAUUGUUUCUGUGUAUACCAGGAUAAAUAAAGUUUAUUGCUGCAUCAUUA